rnacentral:misc_RNA from 1 species
UUUCCGUAGGUGAACCUGCGGAAGGAUCAUUAUUGUAUAACCGAGGUGCGAGGGCUGUCGCUGACCCGAAAGGUCGUGCACGCCCGAGCGCCCCCACACACAUCCAUCUCACCCCUAUGUGCACCACCGCGUGGGUCCCCCUUUGGCUUGCUCGGAGGGGGGCUUACGUUUUCACACAAACUUUGUAUGCAGUGUAGAAUGUAUUCUUUGUUUUUGCGAUCACGCAAUCAAUACAACUUUCAACAACGGAUCUCUUGGCUCUC